ACUCAAAGGAAUUGACGGGGGCCCGCACAAGCAGCGGAGCAUGUGGCUUAAUUCGACGCAACGCGAAGAACCUUACCAAGGCUUGACAUCGCCCGGAAAGCAUCAGAGAUGGUGCCCCCCUUGUGGUCGGGUGACAGGUGGUGCAUGGCUGUCGUCAGCUCGUGUCGUGAGAUGUUGGGUUAAGUCCCGCAACGAGCGCAACCCUUGUUCUGUGUUGCCAGCAACCUCUUCGGAGGGUUGGGGACUCACAGGAGACUGCCGGGGUCAACUCGGAGGAAGGUGGGGACGACGUCAAGUCAUCAUGCCCCUUAUGUCUUGGGCUGCACACGUGCUACAAUGGCAGGUACAAUGAGCUGCGAAGCCGUGAGGCGGAGCGAAUCUCAAAAAGCCUGUCUCAGUUCGGAUUGGGGUCUGCAACUCGACCCCAUGAAGUCGGAGUUGCUAGUAAUCGCAGAUCAGCAGUGCUGCGGUGAAUACGUUCCCGGGCCUUGCACACACCGCCCGU
rnacentral:rRNA from 1 species